GAGUGCUGAGUGUAGAUAAUUACUUCAGACGGCAGUGUGCGCCCGCAUACCUGGGUGAGCACUUGAAAUGUCAAAGCAAUGCAGCAGGCCUUCCACGAACACCAGUUUGACACUUUCACCCCUCUUGUUGUGAGCAGAGAUCUGAAACCUCUGAGCAGGAUGGCGGGAGCCCACAGAUCUGCUGUCACAAAAUGGAACCCUACUCAGGUUUGCAGGACAGAAGACAUUCGAGGCCCAGCCUUGGUCUCCUUAUGGCCUUGACCAAGAUAUGUCCCGCUUUCAUGUUCAUGAGUAACCAGAAUGAAGCAAGAGAUUCCUGCCUCCCAUCACUAUCGCAGGCACUGCGGAACCAGUCCCGACAACCUGACAAUCUCCAUUUCGCCGGCGC